rnacentral:tRNA from 1 species
GGGGAUGUAGCUCAGCGGGAGCGCGCUUGCUUUGCAUGUAAGAGGCCCUGGGUUCGACCCCCAGCAUCUCCA